GAUCAGCAGUAGCAGUGAGUCAGCAUUUUCCCUGGCCUGGCCUUGUCCACAUGGAACAGAGAGCAGAUGCUGGAUGCAAAUCAUGACUACUACACCUGCCUUUUGCAUUGAGAAUGAGCCCACUAACAUCCUCCUACACAUGGAUCCCAUCCUCUGACAGACUAGUGGGACCUAACAAUGCUGCCAGCAAAACCAAGCUGUAUUGUCUUAAAGGGAGGUGAUGUGCUAGAAGUGAGUUGCGGAGUGAAGAUGAUUCAGGGACCGAGAAAAGAAGAGAUGCUUUGGCUUUCACUGCAGCCCCUCUUCCACUGAGACCCCUCUACUCCAAACAUCUGUUUGCCAUCACUGUGCCCAUCACUGGAGCCGGCUCCUGCUUUAGCCCCUGCUCCCCUCUGUCACUCUACUUCCCUAGAUCACCAAUUUGUCUGAUUGUUUGCAAUUAACUGUUGAUUAUGGUGCACAAAAGUCCAAGGAGGAUAAUUAAAAACCACUCAGCCAGCAGCAGUGGAAAGACUCUGCUGCUGCAGAAGAGAGAGCAGUGCACAACAAGCACAUCCCUGCUUUGGGUGGCACAACGUGGGCUGGUGAGAACCAGCGAGCCUGGUGUGCAAAGGCUGGUGAAGACAGUGGCAAAAUAGAGCCCCCAUAACCUUGGAACAGCAGUUCAGGUCCAGCUCUCCAGAGGCAUCUAAUUUUUCACCACAUCAUCACACGAGGCAGGUUCAUGUUUCCUUUAUAGCUCUUAUUGUAGUCAUCAGUACUCCUGUAAAUAGACUUGAAACAACAUCCAUAGGCUGGUGACUUUUAGGGAAAGGGGACUGCUAACUCCUUGAUUGCUAGCACCACAAAAAAUUAAUUUUACAUCACCAUUUUCCCUUCUAAUGCCACAAGAAGGGAACCACCUGCAGGUUCAGGUGGUUAAAAAAGAGUCCAAAGGCAAGUACGCCUAUAUCAUUGAUUAUUAAGCAGGGGAAAGAGGAGGCAGUAUAUAAUCCACUAAAUAAGUUCUGAAAGAUGCAUGAUUAGUACAAUUAACAGUAUCUCAUUCCUUUCAAUAUGAAACCAUCACAGGGGGAAAAAACCCUUAACAAACACUAUUAUGUUUAUAACUGGG
rnacentral:lncRNA from 1 species